rnacentral:rRNA from 1 species
GGUUAAGCGACUAAGCGUACACGGUGGAUGCCCUGGCAGUCAGAGGCGAUGAAGGACGUGCUAAUCUGCGAUAAGCGUCGGUAAGGUGAUAUGAACCGUUAUAACCGGCGAUUUCCGAAUGGGGAAACCCAGUGUGUUUCGACACACUAUCAUUACGUGAAUACAUAGCGUAAUGAAGCGAACCGGGGGAACUGAAACAUCUAAGUACCCCGAGGAAAAGAAAUCAACCGAGAUUCCCCCAGUAGCGGCGAGCGAACGGGGAGCAGCCCAGAGUCUGAAUCAGCAUGUGUGUUAGUGGAAGCGUCUGGAAAGUCGCACGAUACAGGGUGAAAGUCCCGUACACAAAAGUGCAUGUGCUGUGAACUCGAAGAGUAGGGCGGGACACGUGGUAUCCUGUCUGAAUAUGGGGGGACCAUCCUCCAAGGCUAAAUACUCCUGACUGACCGAUAGUGAACCAGUACCGUGAGGGAAAGGCGAAAAGAACCCCGGCGAGGGGAGUGAAAAAGAACCUGAAACCGUGUACGUACAAGCAGUGGGAGCA